GACGAACGCUGGCGGCGUGCUUAACACAUGCAAGUCGAACGGCAAGGCCCUGCUUUUGUGGGGUGCUCGAGUGGCGAACGGGUGAGUAACACGUGAGUAACCUGCCCUUGACUUUGGGAUAACUUCAGGAAACUGGGGCUAAUACCGUAUAGGAGCUCCUGCUGCAUGGUGGGGGUUGGAACGUUUCGGCGGUUGGGGAUGGACUCGCGGCUUAUCAGCUUGUUGGUGGGGUAGUGGCUUACCAAGGCUUGGACGGGUAGCCGGCCUGUGAGGGUGACCGGCCACAUUGGGACUGAGAUACGGCCCAGACUCCUACGGGAGGCAGCAGGGGGGAAUAUUGCACAAUGGGCGGAAGCCGGAUGCAGCAACGCCGCGUGCGGGAUGACGGCCUUCGGGUUGUAAACCGCUUUCGCCUGUGACGAAGCGUGAGUGACGGUAAUGGGUAAAGAAGCACCGGCUAACUACGUG
rnacentral:rRNA from 1 species